CAUUGCAGCCAUAUCACCCUGUAGCCCACUGAAGCUAAGCAGGGCUGAGCCUGGUCAGUACCUGGAUGGGAGACCUCCUGGGAAAACUAGGUUGCUGAUGG
rnacentral:rRNA from 1 species